CAACUGUCAAUCAUAGUAAUCAACAUAAAGAAAAAUAUUACAAUCUACUUCAUACUAACUUUAUACAAAGAUCAGUUUGUUAGUAGACAGUUCAUAGAGUUAAAUAACAAUACAUAUUAGAUAUAUCUAAAGAAAAACUUUUUCAAAUAAUGUUCAACAUGGUUUUGAGCUUUUCAUUUGUUGCAAACCCCUAAGUAAACUUCAGAUUGCAAAAACUAGCUACAAAGGUGUGUUUGCAAAGCAGCCUUUGGUUUCAGCUCCCAAAUCGUUCUGAGGUUUUCCUCUCACAUACAAUCAGAAAAAAAAAAGAUGAAAGUCUCAUUACAAAGAAAGUCUAUCAGAUGACUACAAGAUAGUGAGCAAUAGCUAAUAUUAAAGAAAUGAUCGACUUGGCAUAACUCAUAAGGCAUGAUUCAUACAAAAAACAUAGCUUUGGUAAUUUUUACAAGAAAGUAACUAUUUAUAAUUUCAUAGGAGCACCAUUUAUUGAAUAAAACAAAAUGACCUUGAAACAAGUAUAGCAAAGUAUAUGCAGAAAAUAUUUUUUCUAAUCGAAUAUCAUAUCUCGUUUAUGAAACAAUGAAGGAUUUUAGGUAGAGGAACUACAUGCCUAUAACAACAAGAAUCUAAUUGAAACUAUAAAGGAGAUAACCAGCAGGAAAAAAUAGCACAUCAACAUUAGAAAGACAUUCCAGACAAAACCAAGAACCAACACUUCAAAAUUCCCAAAAAAAUACCAGAAAAUAACCUAAAUAUCUACCCUAGAAAACUGAAGUUUUUUUUUAGAUAAAUUUCGAGGAUUUGUUCCUUGUAUUCUGAAAAAU
rnacentral:lncRNA from 1 species